rnacentral:rRNA from 1 species
AUGACCCAAUGUUUCACUCCAUGCGAAAUCACAGGAAACCAACAGUGUUUCUCUGGAUUGCAACAGUAUUCCUUCAUACUGGUUCUUGCAAAUCAAACAUCGCUACAGUGGCAAAUCUUAUGGAAUGAAAAUUCCUACGUUUUUUCUAUGAAAAAUCCUUCAAAUCAAAGGAGGCCUAAGACUAAUCCAACACUGGACAGAGCAUGUAAACCGGCAGAAGCCCAACUGAAUAUCCAUGUAGAAAAUCAAAGUCACAAACUAGAGAUCAGAAGGAUUGGUAGAUUCCAACACAGUAAUCAGCAUCUGAAUAGACCUUGA